CAGCAGCCGCGGUAAUACGGAGGGUGCGAGCGUUAAUCGGAAUAACUGGGCGUAAAGGGCACGCAGGCGGUUAUUUAAGUGAGGUGUGAAAGCCCCGGGCUUAACCUGGGAAUUGCAUUUCAGACUGGGUAACUAGAGUACUUUAGGGAGGGGUAGAAUUCCACGUGUAGCGGCGAAAUGCGUAGAGAUGUGGAGGAAUACCGAAGGCGAAGGCAGCCCCUUGGGAAUGUACUGACGCUCAUGUGCGAAAGCGUGGGGAGCAAACAGGAUUAGAGACCCCCGUAGUCCCUGUCUCUUAUAC
rnacentral:rRNA from 1 species